GCCUUGAUGGUGUAGUUGGUAACACCUUGGUUUGUUGUUCUUCGAGUAGCCACUGGCUGCUUGGGGAAUUCCUCGUGAAUUCCAUAAUGAAAAACGCCGAAGCCCCUCGUUCGAAUCGAGGUCAAGUCA